UAGUCCACGCCGUAAACGAUGAGAACUAGAUGUUGGGAGGGUUGCCUCUCGGUGUCGCAGCUAACGCGUUAAGUUCUCCGCCUGGGGAGUACGCCGGCAACGGUAAAACUCAAAGGAAUUGACGGGGACCCGCACAAGCGGUGGAGCAUGUGGUUUAAUUCGAUGCAACGCGAAGAACCUUACCAUCCCUUGACAUCCUCAGAAUGAUCUGUAAUCGAUCAGUGCCUUCGGGAACUGAGUGACAGGUGCUGCACGGCUGUCGUCAGCUCGUGUCGUGAGAUGUUGGGUUAAGUCCCACAACGAGCGCAACCCCUAUCUAUAGUUGCCAGCACGUAAUGGUGGGAACUCUACAGAGACUGCCGGUGAUAAGCCGGAGGAAGGUGGGGACGACGUCAAGUCAUCAUGGCCCUUACGGGAUGGGCUACACACGUGCUACAAUGGUGCAUACAGAGGGUUGCCAAGCCGCGAGGUGGAGCUAAUCUCAGAAAGUG
rnacentral:rRNA from 1 species